ACUAUUUUGGCAGAUAAGUGCGUUAGAUUUAGAAUCUAUAAAUGUAAAGUUUGGCUUUAUAGGUAGUA
rnacentral:tRNA from 1 species